AGUGAACGCUGGCGGUAGGCCUAACACAUGCAAGUCGAACGGCAGCACAGUAAGAGCUUGCUCUUACGGGUGGCGAGUGGCGGACGGGUGAGGAAUACAUCGGAAUCUACUUUUUCGUGGGGGAUAACGUAGGGAAACUUACGCUAAUACCGCAUACGACCUACGGGUGAAAGCAGGGGAUCUUCGGACCUUGCGUGAUUGAAUGAGCCGAAGUCGGAUUAGCGAGUUGGCGGGGUAAAGGCCCACCAAGGCGACGAUCCGUAGCUGGUCUGAGAGGAUGAUCAGCCACACUGGAACUGAGACACGGUCCAGACUCCUACGGGAGGCAGCAGUGGGGAAUAUUGGACAUUGGGCGCAAGCCUGAUCCAGCCAUACCGCGUGGGUGAAGAAGGCCUUCGGGUUGUAAAGCCCUUUUGUUGGGAAAGAAAAGCAGCAGGUUAAUACCCCGCUGUUCUGACGGUACCCAAAGAAUAAGCACCGGCUAACUUCGUG
rnacentral:rRNA from 1 species